rnacentral:misc_RNA from 1 species
CCUCCUUAUAACGAAGUUACACUUACAGAGUGUUCACACAAAUAAUUAAUUACGAAGUUUUAAGAGAGCUCUAACGCAUGCGCACAGUAUGUGCUCAUCAGUUAGGGUUUUUAACCCGGACGUGUAAACGUCAUGCUCUUUAACAAUUUGGAAAGCUGAUAAAAUAAGGUAAACAUUAUUGUUUAUUUAAUUUGUUAUUCAACAAUUUAAAAAAUAAUUUUGAUUAUCACUGUAAGAGAAAACUCAAGCGUUAUUUAUGUCAAAACGAACAUGCCUAUACAACAUGUCUCGUUAAUAAAUAUGACACAAGAUGAUGCAAUCGAGAAUGUGAGAGCAUUUAAGGUUGUAUGGUUAAGUGAAUAAGCGUAUACGGUGG